GUCAUUUUCACGUGUUUUCAAAAUUAUAUUACUUCACAAUAAUCAAGGAUGUAAGUUAAAUAUAAACAUUAAUGAAUUGCCAAAAAACAACCUCGCAUUAUAUGUUAUUUGUUGUAAAUUGUAUUUUGAAAUAUGUUGAUGUAUAAAUUGUUAGAAUUCCAAAUAAAUUUUCAAAAAAUCAUAAAAAGAAUUUAGUAAAGAUAAGUAGUUCCAUAUGAUAUGAAGCCUUUAAUAUUUGAUUUUACUAACUUAAAUAAAAAGCAAUUGAAAAUGUAAGCUCUUUACAUUUAAUAAAGCUCUAUCAAGGAUCAUCAAGCAGCUAACAACACUGAAUCAUAAACUUGUAGGGUGAGAAACACUGAAGUGGGUCUCAUUGGGGUCUAAGUGUGGAUUGCUGAUUUUUGUAAGCAUGUAACGUGAAAGUCAAACUAUUGUGCCAUGAUAAUGGGAAAUGAAGUCUAUCGCGAUACAGGAAAUUAUGAAAAAAAGAGAAUUGUUUACAAACAAAGGACAGUAAGCAGGAUACUGGAAUCUGACAAAACAGUUAGCAGGAUCCGGGAUCAGAACACCCCAAUGAGACUCCCACUGAAGCAUGUACUUGUAAGGUUAAAACACUUAAGCAUGCAGAUUUGUUAAGUAAGUGACAAAGCACAAAUAAGCAGAAGCUCUCUAAAUUAUCAAAAUAAAAAGCCAAGCUGAAAACAAAAGCAUGGAACUAAAUGCAAUUGUGUAGCAGAAGUAAACUGGUUUUACAUGCAUAUAACAUUAUCAUGAGUUGCCAAACAGGGGUUCAAAUUAACAUUUGGUACUGGAAGGUCCAGGACCUUUGACACUCAAAACUGAAAGGUCCACAACCUAAAUUGCAGGUCUCUACUUUUACUUGAAAUAUUUUAUAACACAGUAAGAUACAAAAUUAUUGUGCCUUUGGUGUUAGGUUAUCUUGUUACAUUGUCAGUGUCACUGUUGUAUAAUAUGUUCAAUAAACUAAUAAAUAUAAUUGUCUUGUAUAUUAUGAAUUCAUAUUAUCUUUAUUUUUUUUUAUUUGGUAGGGUGUCACUGUUGGUAGGUGUGUUGUAACCAAGAUUAGUAAUUAAUUACUAAUUAUAUCAUUACCUCAGGGCUCACACUACUUCAACUCGAUUUUAAAAGUCACUAGAGCUUGUUACUUUGUUACAUUGUAUCAUAUCAUUACCUCAGGGCUCACACUACUUCAACUCGAUUUUAAAAGUCCACUAGAGCUUGUUACUUUGUUACAUUGUAUCAUAUCUAGUUGUACUAUUUUUAUAAUAAAGUACGAAACUUCCAGCUAUUUACAGGCCCCUAAAAAUUGAGGAGAAAUUACCCCUUGGAAUUGCAUAAUUUGUUUACACUUUAAAAACAUCUGCAUGUCAUAUCCCACAUGUAUUAAUGAUAAAAGAAAAAUGCUGUCACAUUGUAUUGGAUGUUGACAUGGAAAUUUGUCAACUAAAAAACUUAUUAAGUAAUUUUGAGUUCAACCUAAAAUAUUUUCUGGUCUUUCUUUCUUUUCCAUAUAUCUUUUGGUUUUCAAUUCUAGUGAUUAUAUUUCAUAAUCUUAGAUGUAUUUUGUCACAACUUCAAGCCUGACAUUAAUUUUUUUAUUGUAUUUGAUCGGCAAACCCGGAAUUACCCUUAUCCGUCCCGGAAACUGAUCCGGUAUUGUAAUUAUCUUCAUUUCCGGUUUAUAUAUGGCAUCCAUUGUUUUUCUAUGUUGAUGUUGUCAGUCAGAUACGAUUUCACUCGGAUUUACAAAUUACUUUUUAACGAUUUUCGGUAUAAAAUUAGCGGUUGGAUAAAAUGAAUAUUGCUGUCAUGAAUAAUAAAGAUGAGAAUUUAUUUUGAGAUCGUUUAUUUGGAAAUUUUGAUAAAAAGGUCUGCGAAGUUAUUUUUUAUUUUCUUUCAAAUCGAAGGUCCGUCGGGCGUAGCUAGUAACCAAAACGAAGGUCCGCUUGCAAAAGUGGAAGGUCGCGGACCUCGGACCACCGCUAAUUUGAACCCCUGCCAAACCAAGAAUUUGUCAAGUUCUAGAAUAGAUUGAAAGAUGAUUGCUUACACAGCUUAUCUGGAAGCUCAUUCCAAAGUUUACCACCUGCAUGCUUUAAAGAUUUUUAGCCAUAUGCAGUUGUUCUUACAUGGAUAGGCUGCCUUAUUUUGGUAUCUGACAGAGUAGGUGUUUUUCUUUCAGUGCGAUUAAGUCAUGAAUAUAAAGAUGUGCUAUUGUGUACAAUUAGUUACACUAUCAAUAUAUAUAAAGCCUCGGUCACACCUUACCGGAUAGCUCGAACGGGCGCUUAACGGAUAACUUUUUUAUGCCCCACCUUCGAUUGUAGAGGGGCAUUAUGUUUUCUGGUCUGUGCCUCCGUCCUUCCGUCCGUUCGUUCAGGUUAAAGUUUUUGGUCAAGGUAGUUUUUGAUGAAGUUGAAGUCCAAUCAACUUCAAACUUAGUACACAUGUUCCCUAUGAUAUGAUCUUUCUAAUUUAAUUGCCAAAUUAGAGUUUUGACCCCAAUUUCACGGUCUACUGAACAUAGAAAAUGAUAAUGCGAGUGAGGCAUCUGUGUACUAUGGACACAUUCUUGUUUCAAUCCGUUUUCAUGUCCGUUCUUAUCCAUUAGACGUCCGUCCAUAUCCGUUGCAUGUCCGUUAAGCGUACGUUUUAUCGGUCGACGUCCGUUCUGUCUGGUGGAAAAUUUUGAGCAUGUUCAAAACUUUGAACGGACGUCCAACCGAUAAAAUGUCCGUUGAAUGUCCGUUAGGCGUCUGUUUUGUACGGUACUCGUUCGUUUUGUUUCCGUUUUGUAUCCGUUAUGUGUCCGUUAUAUAUGGAGGUUGGAAGAUAAAUUCACCAACAUACUUCUACCGGACGUUUAACAGAUAAAACGGAUGAGAAACAGACUUCUACGGAGGUAUAACAGAUAAAACGGGAUGAUGAAUGGAUCUGAAAGGGAUAAAUGCCAAUUGAAAAUUUCGCGUCAGAAAUGCCAAUUAUUGGUAUGUCAGAUUUCUUAAGGUUCAUGAAUUCUUAUUAUUCAUUAUCGAUCUUAGAGUAUACAUUGUAGGCACAUUCACAAUCAAGCAGUACUUUUUCAGGCCAGACACUUUGGUGGGAUUUUGAAGAAAAAACCAAAACCAGUUACACAGAAACAUUUUGAAUAUUUAUGCGAUUUACAUGUAUUAUUAUUGUCGCUUUUGAUUUUUCCGUAUAUCUUGUUCAUCUGUUUUAUCCGGUACGCUUCCGUUAGGUGUCCGUUUUAGGCAGUACUGGUCCGUUGGAUGUACGUUCGACAUCCGUUCUGUCAAAUAUGGUGUCCGUUUCUCGUACGUUGAUAUCCGGUGUGUGUCCGUUAUGCAUCUGUUACACGUCCAUUUAAUUCGGUCAGUACAUCCAUGGACUCCCAACGGAUAACAAUUUUGUCAACACAACUUUUUUUUCAUCGGUUAGGCGUCCGUUCAUGCUAUCCCGGUAAGGUGUGACCGAGGCUUAACUAUUCGAACUUUUGAUUCAGGAUUUCUGUAAGAGCAUUACAAUUCUCUAAAAAGUGAUAAUCUUUUUAAUUAUGCAGGUCAAGUCACAAUACAGAUCACAUAGACAGGUUACAGGGA
rnacentral:lncRNA from 1 species